rnacentral:rRNA from 1 species
AACUCUGGAACUGCCAUUAAAACUUUUCAGCUAGAGUAUGAUAGAGGAAAGCAGAAUUUCUAGUGUAGAGGUGAAAUUCGUAGAUAUUAGAAAGAAUACCAAUUGCGAAGGCAGCUUUCUGGAUCAUUACUGACACUGAGGAACGAAAGCAUGGGUAGCGAAGAGGAUUAGAUACCCUCGUAGUCCAUGCCGUAAACGAUGUGUGUUAGACGUUGGAAAUUUAUUUUCAGUGUCGCAGCGAAAGCGAUAAACACACCGCCUGGGGAGUACGACCGCAAGGUUAAAACUCAAAUGAAUUGACGGGGACCCGCACAAGUAGUGGAGCAUGUGGUUUAAUUCGAAGAUACGCGCAGAACCUUACCAACACUUGACAUGUUCGUCGCGACUCUAAGAGAUUAGAGUUUUCGGUUCGGCCGGACGAAACACAGGUGCUGCAUGGCUGUCGUCAGCUCGUGUCGUGAGAUGUUGGGUUAAGUCCCGCAACGAGCGCAACCCUCACUUUUAGUUGCCAUCAUUAAGUUGGGCACUCUGAAAGAACUGCCAGUGAUAAGCUGGAGGAAGGUGGGGAUGACGUCAAGUCCUCAUGGCCCUUACGUGUUGGGCUACACACGUGCUACAAUGGUAUCUACAACAGGAAGCAAGACUGCGAGGUCAAGCAAAUCCUUAAAAGAUACCUCAGUUCGGAUUGCACUCUGCAACUCGAGUGCAUGAAGCUGGAAUUACUAGUAAUCGUGGAUCAGCGUGCCACGGUGAAUGCGUUCCCGGGUCUUGUACACACCGCCCGUCACACCAUGGGAGUUGGUUCUACCUUAAGGCAAGGUUUCAAACCCUUGACCACGGUAUAGUCAGCGACUGGGGUGAAGUCGU